GUAGGGGGCGAGCGUUGUCCGGAUUUAUUGGGCGUAAAGGGCUCGUAGGCGGCUUAGCAAGUCGACCGUGAGAACCCAGGGCUCAACCCUGGGACGCCGGUCGAAACUGCUAUGGCUAGGGUCCGGUAGAGGUGAGUGGAAUUCUCGGUGUAGCGGUGAAAUGCGCAGAUAUCGAGAGGAACACCAUUAGCGAAGGCGGCUCACUGGGCCGGUACCGACGCUGAGGAGCGAAAGCGUGGGGAGCAAACAGGAUUAGAUACCCUGGUAGUCCACGCCGUAAACGUUGAACACUAGGAGUGGCGGACUUAUCCCACGUCCGCCGUGCCGCAGCUAACGCAUUAAGUGUUCCGCCUGGGGGAGUACGGCCGCAAGGCUA
rnacentral:rRNA from 1 species